rnacentral:rRNA from 1 species
GAUUGGGCGCGCCGCAGGCCCAAACGCGCAGUGAAAGUGAAGGCCCGGACCGCCGGGCCGAGGGGCGAUCCCGUCCGCUCGUCGGGCGGGCGCAGCCCCGGGACGCGCCGAUCGCCUCGUCGACGGCUCGUACCCCGAGCGCAAACGUUGGGACCCGAAAGAUGGUGAACUAUGCCUGGCCAGGACGAAGUCAGAGGAAACUCUGAUGGAGGUCCGUAGCGAUUUUGACGUGCAAAUCAAUCGUCCGAGCUGGGUAUAGGGGCGAAAGACUAAUCGAACCAUCUAGUAGCUGGAUCCAUCCGAAGUUUCCCUCAGGAUAGCUGGCGCUCGCANGACCGAGUUUCAUCCGGUAAAGCGAAUGAUUAGAGGCCUUGGGGCCGAAACGANCUCAACCUAUUCUCAAACUUUAAAUGGGUGAGAAGUCGGGCUUGCUCGACUGAAGCACCGACCNUNGAAUCNAGAGUGCCAAGUGGGCCACUUUUGGUAAGCAGAACUGGCGCUGUGGGAUGAACCAAACGCAGAGUUAAGGUGCCCGAGAGAACGCUCAUCAGAUCCCAUGAAAGGUGUUGGUUGCUAUAGACAGCAGGACGGUGGCCAUGGAAGUCGGAA